UGAGUUUUUAUGAAAGGGUAAAAAUAUGAAAAGAAACAAGAAAAAGAAAUCACCCUUGAAACCAUAGAGCAAAGAAAAAAGAAAAGAAAGAAAAAAGCAAAGAAAAUGCUCAUGGUUGUGUUAUCACCCUUGAAACCAUAGAGCAAAGAAAAAAGAAAAGAAAGAAAAAAGCAAAGAAAAUGCUCAUGGUUGUGUGGAUGUAAAAAGAAAAAGAAAAAAGAUAGGGAUCAAAGAAAGGGAAAU
rnacentral:lncRNA from 1 species